CGGAGCCUCUAGUUUUCUUUUCUUCAGUCAUUUUGGCUUGUCUGGAUUAUUUCUAAAUGUAGUUGCAUUUAUACUUGGAAUCUCAGGAAGAAGGAAACUGAGACAGGAGAAUCAGGUAUUUGAACGAGAAUAGGUGACAUGAGUGUUUGGCUGCGUUGUUCUUGUCUCUAGGAAGGAGGUGCAGAUGUUAGCUUUGACAGUACAAUGCAACAGCAACUGGAGAUAUUUUAGCCUUGAGAUGUGAAUCGUCUUUGCACUGGCUGUGUACUUCAACAGGAAGCCUUUCUUUUUUACAUCAUCUUACCAUGUUAUCAGGCUAAAGAAAGAUCUCAAGAACCUGGCCUAAUUGAAGAGAGAUCAACAGAAACUGUUUCACAGUGGCUCUGGGAGCAACUUUGUCAGUUUGUCAAGUCAUUUCACAGUAAAUAUGUUUGAAAUCGUGUAUAUUUUAUCUUCAUAUUAUAUGUAAGUUUGGAAUGACCAUCUUUCCCACAUCUAAAGCUUAGCAAGGCUAGUGGCUAGUAGCUUGAGUAAUGCAGGCCCAGAAGCAGCAUUCACCUUAUCUACAGAAUCAAAACAAAAUCAGGCAUAAUUACUUUUCUCUUGCCUUGUUUGUUGAGUUUUGGAGUGACAUACAAUGCAUCCAGAUUUGAGAAUGAGAUUUAA